AUGUACCCCUUCGUACAUUCCGGUUGCUCCGCGCCGUCCGCGCCCACCCGACGACUGCUCGCCACGCUCUGCGAGCC
rnacentral:sRNA from 1 species